rnacentral:rRNA from 1 species
GAUGAACGCUGGCGGCGUGCCUAAUACAUGCAAGUCGAGCGAACGGACGAGAAGCUUGCUUCUCUGAUGUUAGCGGCGGACGGGUGAGUAACACGUGGAUAACCUACCUAUAAGACUGGGAUAACUUCGGGAAACCGUAGCUAAUACCGGAUAAUAUUUUGAACCGCAUGGUUCAAAAGUGAAAGACGGUCUUGCUGUCACUUAUAGAUGGAUCCGCGCUGCAUUAGCUAGUUGGUAAGGUAACGGCUUACCAAGGCAACGAUGCAUAGCCGACCUGAGAGGGUGAUCGGCCACACUGGAACUGAGACACGGUCCAGACUCCUACGGGAGGCAGCAGUAGGGAAUCUUCCGCAAUGGGCGAAAGCCUGACGGAGCAACGCCGCGUGAGUGAUGAAGGUCUUCGGAUCGUAAAACUCUGUUAUUAGGGAAGAACAUAUGUGUGAGUAACUGUGCACAUCUUGACGGUACCUAAUCAGAAAGCCACGGCUAACUACGUG